GUACUUGCUUCAGCAGCACAUACACUAAAAUUGGAACAAUGCAGAGAAGAUUAACAUGGUUCGUGCACAAAGCUUGACAUACAAAUUUGUGAAGUGUUCCAUAUUUUA
rnacentral:snRNA from 1 species